rnacentral:rRNA from 1 species
AGUAGCCGCGGUAAUUCCAGCUCCAAUAGCGUAUAUUAAAGUUGUUGCAGUUAAAAAGCUCGUAGUUGAAUUUCGGGGUCAGUAGAUUGGUCGUGCCACUGGUAUGUACUGGCUUCACUGAUUCCUCCCUCUUGUAGAACCGUAAUGCCAUUAAUUUGGUGUUGCGGGGAAACAGGACUGUUACUUUGAAAAAAUUAGAGUGUUUAAAGCAGGCUAACGCUUGAAUACAUUAGCAUGGAAUAAUGAAAUAGGACGUUCGAUCUUAUUUUGUUGGUUUCUAAGAUUGACGUAAUGAUUAAUAGGGAUAGUUGGGGGCAUUAGUAUUCAAUUGUCAGAGGUGAAAUUCUUGGAUUUAUUGAAGACUAACUACUGCGAAAGCAUUUGCCAAGGAUGUUUUCAUUAAUCAAGAACGAAAGUUAGGGGAUCGAAGACGAUCAGAUACCGUCGUAGUCUUAACCAUAAACUAUGCCGACUAGGGAUCGGAUGAUGUUAAUUUUUUAAUGACUCAUUCGGCGCCUUACG